UACAGAGGGGGCAAGCGUUGUUCGGAAUUACUGGGCGUAAAGGGCGCGUAGGCGGCCCUCUAAGUCGAACGUGAAAUCCCUGGGCUCAACCCAGGAACUGCGUCCGAGACUGGGGGGCUCGAAUCCGGGAGAGGGAUGUGGAAUUCCAGGUGUAGCGGUGAAAUGCGUAGAUAUCUGGAGGAACAUCGGUGGCGAAGGCGGCAUCCUGGACCGGUAUUGACGCUGAGGCGCGAAAGCCAGGGGAGCAAACGGG
rnacentral:rRNA from 1 species